AAUGAACGCUGGCGGCAGGCCUAACACAUGCAAGUCGAGCGAGAUCAUCGGGUCUAGGGGCGGAUGGGUGAGUCACGCGUGGGAAGAGUCCUCUUUGUAUGGAAUAGCCUCGGGACACUGGGAAUAACACCGUAUGUGCCCUUUGGGGGAAAGAUAUAUCGCCAAGGGAUUAGCACUCGUUGGAUUAGGUAGUUGGUGGGGUAAUGGCCUACUAAGCCGACGAUUCCUAGCUGGUUAGAGAGGAUGGUCAGCCACACUGGGACUGGGACACGGCCGGGACUCCUGCGGGAGGGGGGAAAGGGGGAUCUUGGACAAUCGGGGGAACGCUGAAGUAGCCAUGCCGCGUGAGUGAUGAAGGCCGGAAGGUUGUAAAGCUCUUUAAGCUGGGAAGGUAAUGACGGUACCAAAAGAAGAAGCCCCGGCUAACUCCGUG
rnacentral:rRNA from 1 species